UCAAGGUUGUCCAAGUUGGCCUGAGGGUCAUCCAAGGUGGUCCAAGGUGGUCCAAGGGUCAUCCAAGGUGGUCCAAGGUGGUCCAAGGGUCAUCCAAGGUGGUGCAAGGGUCAUUCAAGGUUGUCCAAGGUGGCCUGAGGGUCAUCCAAGGUGGUCCAAGGGUCAUCCAAGGUGGUCCAAGGGUCAUCCAAGGUGGUCCAAGGGUCAUCCAAGGUUGUCCAAGGUGGCCUGAGGGUCAUUCCAGGUGGUCCAAGGUGGUUGAAGGUCCAGCCAAGGUGGCCCAAGCUCCAUCCAGGGUUGCCCAGGGUCCAUCCAAGGUGGCCCCAGGUCCAUCUGAGGUGGCCCCGGGUCCAUCCAAGGUGGCCCAAGGUCCAUCCAAGGUGGUCCAAGAUGGUCCCAGGUCCAUCCGAGGUGGUCCAAGGUCACCCCAGCUCCAUCCCAGGAGAUCCAGAAGCCACCUGAGGCCACCAGAAGCUCCUCAGAUCCCCCAAGACCCCAAAAUCCCCCAAAAAAUCCCAAAAAAUCUCAAAAAAUCCCCCAAAAUCCCCAAAAAAUCCCAAAAAUCCCCCAAAAACCCAAAAAAAAAUCCCCAAAAUGCCCCAAAAAUAAAAAAAAAUUCCCAAAAAAUCCCCAAAAAAUCCCAAAAUCCCCAAAAAAUCCCAAAAUCCCCAAAAAUCCCAAAAUCCCCAAAAAUCCCCGAGGCACUUCCGGGGUGGGGGAGGGGCCUUGGACCUCCCCUCCCCCCCCCAAAUUUGGGCUUUUCCCGCCAAAAAAAAUCGGAAAUUUUGGGGAAGAAUUUUGGGAAUUUUGGGAAAAAAAAAUUAAGAAUUUUGGGGAAAAAUUUGGGAAUUUUGGAAAAAAUUUUAGGAAAAAAAUUGAGAAAAAAUGUGGGAAUUUUGGGAAAAAAUUUGGGAAAAAUUUGGGAAUUUUGA
rnacentral:lncRNA from 1 species